UGCCAGCCGCCGCGGUAAUACGGAGGGUGCAAGCGUUAAUCGGAAUUAUUGGGUUUAAAGGGUCCGCAGGCUGUUUGUUAAGUCAGGGGUGAAAUCCUACCGCUCAACGGUAGAACUGCCUUUGAUACUGGCAAACUUGAGUUAUUGUGAAGUAGCUAGAAUGUGUAGUGUAGCGGUGAAAUGCAUAGAUAUUACACAGAAUACCGAUUGCGAAGGCAGAUUACUAACAAUAUACUGACGCUGAGGGACGAAAGCGUGGGUAGCGAACAGGAUUAGAUA
rnacentral:rRNA from 1 species